GCCCGCUUGGCUUAGGGGUAAAGCGUAUCACUCGUAUUCGAUUCUAUCAAUCGUGUAAUGAUAAGAUCAGUCGUUCGAAUCGGCUAGUGGGCA